rnacentral:rRNA from 1 species
AUCGAACGCUGGCGGCAGGCUUAACACAUGCAAGUCGAGCGGAGUGAUGGUGCUUGCACUAUCACUUAGCGGCGGACGGGUGAGUAAUGCUUAGGAAUCUGCCUAUUAGUGGGGGACAACAUCUCGAAAGGGAUGCUAAUACCGCAUACGUCCUACGGGUGAAAGCAGGGGAUCACUUGUGACCUUGCGCUCAUAGAUGAGCCUAAGGCGGAUUAGCUAGUUGGUGGGGUAAAGGCCUACCAAGGCGACGAUCUGUAGCGGGUCUGAGAGGAUGAUCCGCCACACUGGGACUGAGACACGGCCCAGACUCCUACGGGAGGCAGCAGUGGGGAAUAUUGGACAAUGGGGGGAACCCUGAUCCAGCCAUGCCGCGUGUGUGAAGAAGGCCUUAUGGUUGUAAAGCACUUUAAGCGAGGAGGAGGCUCUUUUGGUUAAUACCCAGAAUGAGUGGACGUUACUCGCAGAAUAAGCACCGGCUAACUCUGUGCCAGCCGCCGCCGUAAUAC